rnacentral:rRNA from 1 species
GACGAACGCUGGCGGCGUGCUUAACACAUGCAAGUCGAACGGAGUGGCGAACGGGUGAGUAACACGUGGGUGAUCUGCCUUGCACUUCGGGAUACGCUUGGGAAACUGGGUCUAAUACCGGAUAGUGCAAGAUGAGCUCGCGGCCUAUCCGCUUGUGGGUGGGGUAAUGUCCUACGAAGGCGUCGACGGGUAGCCGGCCUGGGAGGGUGUACGGCCACAUAGGGCCUGAGAUACGGCCAGGACUCCUACGGGAGGAAGCAGUGAGGAAUUUUACGCGAUGGGCGGAAGCCUGAUGGAGCGACGCCGCGUGGGGGAUGAAGGCCUUCGGGUUGUAAACUCCUUUCGACAGGGACGCGGUACCUGUAUAAGAAGCACCGGCUAACUACGUGCCAGCAGCCGCGGUAAUAC